UUAAGUUCAGCGGGUAUCCCUACCUGAUCCGAGGUCAACCUGAAAAAUUGGGGGUUAUUGGCAAGUAACCACCUGGACUCAUCCAAGCGAGAAGAAUUACUACGCUUGAAGCCAAAUGGCACCGCCACUGAUUUUAAGACCUGCCAGAAACUGGCAAUGUCCAAUACCAAGCAAAGCUUGAGGGUUGUAAUGACGCUCGA
rnacentral:misc_RNA from 1 species